rnacentral:lncRNA from 1 species
CCAAAUAAUUUGUUCUUUAUGUUAUGUAGCCCAAAUGGGUUAUUUUAAAAUUCAAAUCACUACAUUUUUUAAAAUAGUGUUGUUCGUUUUUCAAAUGUAGUAUAAUUAUUGUUUGUCCUUUCUUCUUUUUUUUCAUCCUUUCUUCUUGAAGAUGAACAGUGGCCUCAUGGAGUGAUGACCUGACUCACUUGUGAAUUGGAUUUAAAUGAGGCAGAAUUGGAUAGUGAGACUCAUUCUCUUUUCCAGAGUCAUCCAAGUCUAGUGGCAAGACAAAAGUCAGAACAGGACAACUGGUGGAUGCAGUGGAUGACCUUGGUAUCUUCCAUGUCUGACCAAGUUCCAAGUGCCUCACAAUACCUGCUUGUACCACCUUUAUGAUUAUUGGAAUAAAAUAUUCUCAUCCACCCAUUCCACCAUAUUAAAUACGUCCUCUCCUAUCAUCCGCAAUAUUCUUGACUUUCUAGGGGUUUUUUGGAGAUGAUGUUAAUAACCCCAAACAGCUUUGCUUAUAUCCCUAAUUUAAAUUAUGUUAUUUCAUUUGAUCCUCCCAACAACUCUGUAAGGUGGUUGCUAUUUUUAUCUCCAUAUUACAGAUUAAGGAAUUGGGACUGAGAAAUGUGACUUACCCAAGAUACGAGGCUGGAUUCAAACUCAGUUUUUUCCUGACUCCAUGGCCAAUACCUAGACAAGUGAGAAAUGGAGAGAUGAGAGAUCAAGGAACAGCUAAACAGGGUAGAUUCAUGAAAAGGAACAAUGGGAAAUAAGGUCCAUUCCUGGUUAGCCCAAAGUGCUUCCAGAAUUGAACACUUCUUCACCAGAGGCAGAAAUGACUCCAAAUUGGAUGCCAUGAGAGCCAAGGCCCAAGUCCUGAGGAGGGACAACUUCUACAUCCAUAUUAUUUUCAGCAGGAUGCACUCAAGGUUGAAUUCUGACCUCCAUCUCUCCUAAAAGAGGGGUCCAGGAGUCAGAACAGACAUAUGGAUUACAGUCGUUACCCACUUUGGAAGGAUAUGAUAACUACUUUUUUCGUAAAAUAAAAAUUGAUUUUUUCAAUGAGCA